rnacentral:rRNA from 1 species
UACGGGGGGGGCAAGCGUUGUUCGGAAUUACUGGGCGUAAAGGGCUCGUAGGUGGCCAACUAAGUCAGACGUGAAAUCCCUCAGCUUAACUGGGGAACUGCGUCUGAUACUGGAUGGCUUGAGUUUGGGAGAGGGAUGCGGAAUUCCAGGUGUAGCGGUGAAAUGCGUAGAUAUCUGGAGGAACACCGGUGGCGAAGGCGGCAUUCUGGACCAUAACUGACACUGAGAGACGAAAGCCAGGGGAGCAAACGGG